GGGGUUGUGGCUCAGCGGUAGAGCGCUUGCCUUGCACUUGCAGGACCCUAGGUUCAAUCCUCAGCACCA
rnacentral:tRNA from 1 species